CCCCUCCACGAAGAGGAUGAAGAGAGAGGACGACCUUUCCCAAUAGAGGAGGACCAGUCUUAGGUCAAGGGAAUUACGAGUAGCUGCGCUCCCCUGUGAAAACCUCCAAACAAGCUCUCAAGGUCCAUUUGGCAGUGUAUUUAACU
ensembl:misc_RNA 7SK 7SK RNA